UCCGGCUUUUGACCGACAGUUUCCUUAGAGUGCCCCCUUGCGGGAUGGCAACUAAGGAUAAGGGUUGCGCUCGUUGCUGGACUUAACCAAACACCUCACGGCACGAGCUGACGACAGCCAUGCAGCACCUGUGCUAGUACCCGACUCUACGGGUCGCCGACCCUUUCGGGCGACUACUACCAGCAUGUCAAGCCCUGGUAAGGUUCUUCGCGUUGCAUCGAAUUAAACCACAUGCUCCGCUGCUUGUGCGGGGCCCCGUCAAUUCCUUUGAGUUUUAGCCUUGCGGCCGUACUCCCCAGGCGGGGUGCUUAAUGCGUUAGCUACGGCACGGAAGGAGUCGACACCUCCCACACCUAGCACCCAUCGUUUACGGCGUGGACUAC
rnacentral:misc_RNA from 1 species